GCUGGAAGUGGGAGUCCAGAUGGCAGGAAAUGACGCUAGUUCUGGUAGUGAUCCGGAAAUGGAGGAUGAAUCCAGUAGCGGGAAUGCUGGGGGAAAUGAAUGGUGGAAAAUAGUUAAUCGGAAAAGGAAGAAAACCGGUAGUCAAGGAUCAUUUACGGAUAGUGGAAAGGAGGAAGAAGUAGUUUGGUAGGUGGCGGUAAUGCACCAUAAGCUGGUUUGCCAACCGCCAUAAAAAUUCAGAAGAAGAAGAGAUGUCAAAACGAGAUGUUGUUGGCAAGAUGGCGGCUUGCGUGGAGAGGCAACGGGACAGACGAGACACACGUGUGUUUAUCUGCUGCAGAGAGACUGAUCAAGGAAUGCUGCCAUCAAAGCCUCUCAAUCUUUUGUGGUGGAGCAGGACUUGCAAGGAAAGGUGACAUUUGUGAAAAAAGGGAAACCCUGAAACAAAAGGAUAACCAGCAUCCUGGAAAUGGUCCAGUGACACAGAUGAGACGCUCCAUCACUCCACCUCUUACUGCCUCAUCUGGACCGGAUGUUGCUGUGGUCUCUUCAUUCUCAGUGACCCCAGAGCCAGCGAGAGCAUCUAGAGAAAGAAAGACCUGAAGUUUGUUCUGCUGGUUUCUGUUUAUACAAUGAAGGCUGACUUUUAGAAGCUUCAAAACCAUCAUCGUAAAAUGUCAUGAAGCUUUUAUCUGAAAUGAUUUACAGUGCUCUUAUUACAGGCGUCUACAAUCCCCCGAUCAACCUGGAGGAAAGAGCCUUGCUCAAGGGCAUACUGAUGGUUUAGAACCCGCGACCUUCUGCUCACCAGUUCAGUGGUUUAGCCCACAACAAAAGUAAUAAAGCUACAACAAAAAAAGCAUGUAAUUGUAAACAUGAAAUGAAAUUUGUUAAUAAAUGGAAAGCUGACAACAUGAAUUGUAAAAUGUUUUACAGGUAGUCGUGCUCAUGGAGAGCAGACACACGAUUGAAUGAAGCUUUGUUUCAUCUGUUGUUGACUUGUAUAUGUAUGUAUUUAUUGUGAUGCUUUUAUUCAUUCCUUUACUUAUUUAUUCAUGUUUCUUAUUGUUGUCAGUAAACAAAAUAUAAAUAUUUUAUUUAUGUAUUAAUUGCUUGACUGAAAAUUCAUGUAUUCACAUCGACUGCAUUUGUUCAACUAGUGUAUAUUCAUGUAUAGCUAUGUCACGACAAAAAAAAUACAUUUAGCUUGUUUAACUAAAAUGUAAUUUUAAGGGAAAAAAAGUAAUAAUUAUUGGUUGGCAUUUAUCAUUAUUAUUGCAUGUAAGUGUUGGGGUGAGCAAACGAUGCAAUUCAUUCUGGGGUAAUCUUAAUUUUGAAGUAGUAAUAUUUACAUUUUUAGAGUAUAAAAUCUUCUCCAAAGUCAAGAUCUUCUAGCAGCUGAUCGACGUUUCCUUUGUGAUUUUACACAACCGUUCCAUAAAUAAGGAGUUAAUAUGAUGUUAUAUUUUAAAAUAUAACACAAUUCUAUGUAAGUUAUAUUACUGGGUUUUAUAUAUUAUAUACUAUAUCAUUGUGUAAUUAUAUUAUUGUGUUAUAUACAGUAUAACACAAUAUUGUCUGUUUUUGCUCUGUUUUGCCAAUAAAAAUAUUACCUAUACACUAAAGCCACAGCAGAAUUGUUGCGCAUCUCAUAGAGACACAGCUGUGUUUAGUUUUUGAAUGAAU
ensembl:lncRNA